AAUGGGAGAAGGCACUAAGCAAGAAAGGGAAGAAAAAAAGUAGAAGGAACUUUCCAGUGAUAGCUACAAGAGCCAGCUCGAGAAUUGCCAGAGAUGGAAUUCCCAUACUUGAGAAAGCCACCAAAAGAGCUCGUGAGAAAAAUCAGCUACAAGGUACUUCACGUCCAAAUCCUUUUCUCAUUCUGAAUAAUGAAUCUAAUGAAAACCUGUCUACUGUUAUGAAAGAUAUAGGCAUUGUUCUAGAAAAUUAUGACAAUCAAAUAGAUUUGUUCAAAGCUGAAGAGCGGGUUAGAGCCACUAUAGCUGAAGCUAACUAUAACAAGUAUGUGGAUAAAAUUAACAGUAAAAAUGCCCCUCAAACUGAAGAGGACCUGCAAGAAUUAGCCAUGGAGGCUAUAACAAAUAAAGAGAGAUUGGAGGCUCCUUUAAUUUCCCAGGAAGGCCCAGGGGGGGC
rnacentral:misc_RNA from 1 species